UACAGAGGGGGCAAGCGUUGUUCGGAAUUACUGGGCGUAAAGGGCGCGUAGGCGGCCUUCUAAGUCGAACGUGAAAUCCCCGGGCUCAACCCGGGAACUGCGUCCGAUACUGGAAGGCUUGAAUCCGGGAGAGGGAUGCGGAAUUCCAGGUGUAGCGGUGAAAUGCGUAGAUAUCGGGAAGAACACCUAUGGCGAAGGCAGCUCUCUGGAACGGUACUGACGCUGAGACGCGAAAGCGUGGGGAGCGAACAGG
rnacentral:rRNA from 1 species